rnacentral:rRNA from 1 species
UCGAGAAUCAUUCGCAAUGGGCGAAAGCCUGACGGUGCGACGCCGCGUGGAGGAUGAAGGCCCUAGGGUCGUAAACUCCUGUCAUCAGGGAGUAAUGGCUCAUAUAGUAACUGAUAUGGGUCUUGAUAGUACCUGAAGAGGAAGGGACGGCAAACUUCGUGCCAGCAGCCGCGGUAAUACAGAGGGUGCGAGCGUUAAUCGGAAUUACUGGGCGUAAAGCGCACGUAGGUGGCGACGUAAGUCGGGUGUGAAAGCCCCGGGCUCAACCUGGGAAUUGCAUUCGAGACUGCAUUGCUGGAGUACGGAAGAGGAGGGCGGAAUUCCCGGUGUAGCGGUGAAAUGCGUAGAUAUCGGGAGGAACAUCAGUGGCGAAGGCGGCCCUCUGGUCCAGUACUGACACUCAAGUGCGAAAGCGUGGGGAGCAAACAGGAUUAGAUACCCACGUAGUCCCUGAGCGGGCUGGCAAGGCGCAU